GAGAGGAAGAGAGUGCAGACCGUGGCCCGGGGCAGCUUCCACAGGACGGACGUUUCACAACGCUCAUCUUCAGCCUCAUCAGAACCACUGCCUGGAGUACCAGCAGCCCACUGCGGCUCGCUCAGCACCAAUUCUCCCGGAGCCUAGCCACUGCUUCCCGUUUCCUAGGCUUCUAGUUCGCUCUACGGCCUGCCUGCUGCUUAUCUGCCCGGACACCGAACGCCGUGUCCCUCCUACCUGCUCAUGUCACCUCACAGAGUUACGUCGCUGACCUAAGCUAAUUGGACCACAGACACUAGAUCGACGGAGACGAUUUCAUCACAUCCCAACAACCAAAUGAAAGAAACUGCACCCAGGACCAUCUUCCAAAGAGUCCUGGACAUCUUAAAGAAAUCGUCUCAUGCUGUUGAGUUGGCCUGCAGGGAUCCGUCCCAAGUGGAGCAUCUGGCUUCCAGUCUGCAGUUAAUAACCGAAUGCUUCCGGUGUCUCCGCAAUGCUUGUAUAGAGUGUGCUGCGAACCAGAAUUCCAUCAGAAACUUGGAUACAAUUGGUGUUGCUGUUGAUUUGAUUCUUCUGUUUCGUGAACUACGAGUGGAACAAGAAUCCCUGUUGACAGCUUUUCGCUGUGGCCUGCAGUUUUUGGGUAACAUUGCCUCACGGAACGAAGACUCCCAGUCUAUUGUUUGGGCACAUGCUUUUCCAGAGCUCUUUUUGUCUUGCUUAAAUCAUUCAGACAAAAAAAUUGUUGCCUACUCUUCAAUGAUUUUGUUCACAUCACUGAGUCCUGAAAGGAUGAAAGAUCUGGAAGAAAACCUGAACAUUGCAAUUGAUGUCAUAGCAGCUCACCAAAAGCAGCCCGACUCAGAAUGGCCGUUCUUGAUUAUUACAGACCACUUUCUGAAAAGCCCAGAAUUGAUAGAAGCCAUGUAUGCCAAACUGAGCAAUCAAGAAAGGGUUACAUUGUUGGACCUUGUAAUAGCCAAGAUAGUGGGCGAGGAGCCCCUGACCAAGGACGAAGUCACCGUGUUCUUGCGCCACGCCGAGCUGGUUGCCAGCACCUUUGUGGAUCAGUGCAGAGCCGUGCUCAAGCUGACUGCUGGGCAGCACACCAAUGAUGAGGAGGUACUGGCCACCAUUAGGCUUCUGGACGUGCUGUGUGAGAUGAGUGCUAAUACUGAGCUACUCGGCUAUCUCCAGGUGUACCCCGGCCUGUUGGAGAGAACCAUUGAUGUUUUACGACUGAUUCACGCGGCAGAACGAGACACUCCGAACAUCUUCACCACCACUGGUUGCAUAAAAGAAGGAGACAUUUCAAAUAUGGCUGAGGGGUUUAAGUCUCAUCUCAUUCGUCUUAUUGGAAAUCUGUGCUAUAAGAAUAAAGAUAACCAAGACAAGGUAAAUGAACUGGACGGCAUUCCACUGAUCCUGGAUGGCUGCGGCCUGGAUGGCAGUAACCCGUCAGAUACUAUCAUCCCCAUUUUGCAGAUGAGGGAAUAAACUGGGCUUCUCAGUGACUCGCCCUGAAGGCCAGGACCAGAAUUCAAGCCGUGAUAGCCCCUGGCGGGGGCUUUUCUGUACUGCCUUCUGUGAGUUGCACGGGGUCAGAACACAUGCAGGGAAGCCAUACAGAUGUGUUCAUGUGCAGAGGUAUUACUCAGAUUACUAAGAUUCAAGAUGUAUCGGGACAUGUGUGGAUAACUGCCUUUUAUAAUGGUAAUUAAUGAAGCAUUGUAAAAUCCUUGACUCUCCUGUGAGUUGGUAAAAGAUAAACAAGUACAACAGUGUGUCUUCUCACGGACGGAGAAUCGGGGGUGAGGUGUGUAUCACAGUGGGCACAAUAAGCUCGGGCACGUGGCUCCUCGGGCCGUUGGACUUUCCGCUCCGUUCCGCGCCGCCGGAAGUGACGCGCACAGGGAGCGCCGACUCCUCCAUGUGGCUUUUUUUAAUUGUGAAAGGUGUUCACAGGGAGAACAAGGGCGUGAAACCGUACUUCUCAGUUCACUCUCAGAGCUGCUGCUUCCACUAGCUGCUUGUGCACAUGUAAUAAUGUACUUUGCUCCCUUCCUUAAUGUAUCGUGUUUGAUGUAACCAGUGUCUCUGAGCUUUCCCGCCCUCCCGCUCCGCUGCAGUGAGACCCCAUCCGGUUUUCUGUCGCCCACGUUCUCAGGCCGGAAGUGUUUAUUUGCGUUUGAGUUGUGUUUAUAUGUACGCAGAGUACUCAGUCAAACCUUCUCCCAAUUCCAUCAAGUCAUUUAUUUGUAACAGAUCUUUACAUAG